rnacentral:rRNA from 1 species
AUGCAAGUCGAACGGCAGCGCGGGGCAACCUGGCGGCGAGUGGCGAACGGGUGAGUAAUACAUCGGAACGUGCCCUGUGAUGGGGGAUAACUACGCGAAAGCGUAGCUAAUACCGCAUACGACCUACGGGUGAAAGUGGGGGAUCGCAAGACCUCACGUCAUAGGAGCGGCCGAUGGCGGAUUAGCUAGUUGGUAAGGUAAAGGCUUACCAAGGCAACGAUCCGUAGCUGGUCUGAGAGGACGACCAGCCACACUGGGACUGAGACACGGCCCAGACUCCUACGGGAGGCAGCAGUGGGGAAUCUUGGACAAUGGGGGCAACCCUGAUCCAGCAAUGCCGCGUGUGGGAUGAAGGCCUUCGGGUUGUAAACCACUUUUGGCGGGGGCGAAAUAUCGAGUGCUAAUACCAUUCGGUGAUGACGGUACCCGCAGAAUAAGCACCGGCUAACUACGUGCCAGCAGCCGGGGGUAAU